UUUGGCGUAGGCUGAGAUAGUGAAAUAGAGUAAUCUGCCUAGAGAUGGAUUCGCGUCUGAUUAGCUUGUUGGUGAGGUAAUGGCUCACCAAGGCGACGAUCAGUAGCCGGCCUGAGAGGGUGAUCGGCCACAUUGGGACUGAGAUACGGCCCAGACUCCUACGGGAGGCAGCAGUUAAGAAUCUUGCGCAAUGGACGAAAGUCUGACGCAGCGACGCCGCGUGAGCGAUGAAGGCCCUUUGGGUUGUAAAGCUCAAUAGACAGGGAAGAUAGUGACGGUACCUGUCGAAAGCCCCGGCUAAAUACGUGCCAGCAGCCGCGGUAAUACGUAUGGGGCGAGCGUUGUUCGGAAUCAUUGGGCGUAAAGGGAGCGCAGGCGGGGUAUUAAGUCAGUUGUGAAAGUCCACAGCUCAACUGUGGGAUUGCAAUUGAAACUGAUAUUCUAGAGUCUGGGAGAGGGAGACGGAAAUUCCUGGUGUAGCGGUGAAAUGCGUAGAUAUCAGGAAGAACACCGGUGGCGAAGGCGGUCUCCUGGCCUGAGACUGACGCUGAGGCUCGAAAGCGUGGGGAGCGAACGGGAUUAGAUACCCCGGUAGUCCACGCCCUAAACGUUGUGUACUAGGUGUUGGAGGAGUCAACCCCUCCAGUGCCGCCGCUAACGCAUUAAGUACACCGCCUGGGGAGUAUGCUCGCAAGGGUGAAACUCAAAGGAAUUGACGGGGGCCCGCACAAGCGGUGGAGCAUGUGGUUUAAUUCGAUGAUACGCGAGGAACCUUACCUGGGUUGAACUACGCUCUGACAGGUGCAGAGAUGCGCUUUUCUUCGGACAGAGCGAUAGGUGCUGCAUGGCUGUCGUCAGCUCGUGUUGUGAGAUGUUGGGUUAAGUCCCGCAACGAGCGCAACCCUUAUCCCUUGUUGCUACCAGGUUAAGCUGGGCACUCUAGGGAAACUGCCGGCGUAAGUCGGAGGAGGGCGGGGAUGACGUCAAGUCAGCACGGCCCUUAUGUCCAGGGCUACACACGUGCUACAAUGGCCGGUAUAAAGAGUUCCGAAUCCGCGAGGUAGAGGUAAUCUCAAAAAACCGGUCUCAGUUCGGAUCGCAGUCUGCAACUCGACUGCGUGAAGUCGGAAUCGCUAGUAAUCGCAGAUCAGCAUGCUGCGGUGAAUACGUUCCCGGGCCUUGUACACACCGCCCGUCACACCACCCGAGUUGAGAGCACCCGAAG
rnacentral:rRNA from 1 species